rnacentral:lncRNA from 1 species
UCAGGAGGAGUUUGUUGCGAAGAGUAGUGGAGUGGAACCGUGGCUAUCACCGGGAUGUGCCACGUGGAGUCUGCCGUGGGGAGUGGAGCGGCGUCCGUUGUUGUGACUUAUCAGAGGAUGGAGGAAUUGCACGGUAUCCAUCGCAGGAAGUGGAGCAGGAUCGUGGCCAUUAUUGUGGCCUGCUAGAGAGUGAUUGAGCCGUGCGGAAUCUGUCGUAGGAAGUGGAGCAGUGUCGUGGUCGUUACUGUGGCCUGCUAGGGAGGGAUGGAGCCGCGUGGAAUCUGUU